CUCUGAUUCCUGUAAAUCAGAAAACAUCUUCCUCUGAGUUUAAAGAAGCAAUGUUUGCUACAGAUCCACAAACCAAUGAAUGUGACAAAUGCAAUGAAGAGGGGGAAAAUCUGGGGGAUGAAAACAAUGAGAAGGUAGACUUUGAAGACAGUGAUGAAGACCUUCUUAGUUCCCAAGAGCUUAACAACUUUGUGAAAGGAAUGGGUGUUGAGAUAGCGGAUGAGCAGGAAUUGGAGAUGGAUGAGGGUGAACUCCUCAAAGUUCAAGAUGAGCAACAAACUGGUAAGGAUAAAAAAGGUAAAGCCAAGUUGGUAGAUCAAGUUGAAGGCACAAGGAAAAGUAGCAGACUGGAGGCAAAUGAAGAUACCAGGAUUACGGACAAAGCCAUCAACAGAGCUGAAGCGAAGGAUGCCUUCUUGAACAUAGAAAAAAUCGGCAAGAAGGAUGCUGGAGGAAAGAAGCAAUCAUAUCAGAAAAAUGGCUAGUGAGUUCUUCAGUCGAGCUUGGGGAUGGUCUCCAGUUGACAGGAGGCUGACACAGUGAUCGGUUGAGUGGGGGAUCCUUUUUGGCGAUGAUGCUUCUUUCUGUUCUUGAACCUAGAGACUCUUUUGGCUAUUAUAUCAGGAUGUCGGUCUGUAAUAAUGUCUUGGUUAAAUCCCCUUUCUUGUCUUAGUCGUCUUGGUUUGGCAAUAGAUUUUGGGUCAGGUCUGAUCAUAGAUGUUGCUGGAUUAGUUGCUGAGCUUUUGUUGCCAAUGGCUUGUUUUGGCUAAGACAUUUCUGGUGUGUGUCUGUAUGUGUUUCCUGUUUCUUAAUGAAAUAGGGGGGAAACCCCUUUUCGUCA
rnacentral:misc_RNA from 1 species